rnacentral:rRNA from 1 species
CGCCAGACUCCUACGGGAGGCAGCAGUGGGGAAUAUUGCACAAUGGGGGAAACCCUGAUGCAGCGACGCCGCGUGAGUGAAGAAGUAUUUCGGUAUGUAAAGCUCUAUCAGCAGGGAAGAAAAUGACGGUACCUGACCAAGAAGCCCCGGCUAACUACGUGCCAGCAGCCGCGGUAAUACGUAGGGGGCAAGCGUUAUCCGGAUUUACUGGGUGUAAAGGGAGCGUAGACGGUUGUGCAAGUCAGAAGUGAAAGCCCGGGGCUCAACUCCGGGACUGCUUUUGAAACUGUGAAACUGGAGUGCAGGAGAGGUAAGCGGAAUUCCUGGUGUAGCGGUGAAAUGCGUAGAUAUCAGGAGGAACACCAGUGGCGAAGGCGGCUUACUGGACUGUAACUGACGUUGAAGCUCGAAAGCGUGGGGAGCAAACAGGAUUAAAUACCCCCGUAAGC